UACGUAGGGUGCGAGCGUUGUCCGGAAUUAUUGGGCGUAAAGAGCUCGUAGGCGGUCUGUCGCGUCGGAUGUGAAAACCCAGGGCUUAACCCUGGGCCUGCAUUCGAUACGGGCAGACUAGAGUUCGGUAGGGGAGACUGGAAUUCCUGGUGUAGCGGUGAAAUGCGCAGAUAUCAGGAGGAACACCCGUAGCGAAGGCGGCACUCUGGGCCGAUACUGACACUGAGGAGCGAAAGCGUGGGGAGCGAACAGG
rnacentral:rRNA from 1 species